rnacentral:rRNA from 1 species
GACGAACGCUGGCGGCGUGCUUAACACAUGCAAGUCGAACGGAAAGGCCCUGCUUUUGUGGGGUGCUCGAGUGGCGAACGGGUGAGUAACACGUGAGUAACCUGCCCUUGACUUUGGGAUAACUUCAGGAAACUGGGGCUAAUACCGGAUAGGAGCUCCUGCUGCAUGGUGGGGGUUGGAAAGUUUCGGCGGUUGGGGAUGGACUCGCGGCUUAUCAGCUUGUUGGUGGGGUAGUGGCUAACCAAGGCUUUGACGGGUAGCCGGCCUGAGAGGGUGACCGGCCACAUUGGGACUGAGAUACGGCCCAGACUCCUACGGGAGGCAGCAGUGGGGAAUAUUGCACAAUGGGCGGAAGCCUGAUGCAGCAACGCCGCGUGCGGGAUGACGGCCUUCGGGUUGUAAACCGCUUUCGCCUGUGACGAAGCGUGAGUGACGGUAAUGGGUAAAGAAGCACCGGCGAACUACGU